AGCGACAUCGUCGGACUCGAAUCGAAAACGAGAGAAAAAAAAAACAUGCAAGCAGUGUCGCAGCAGAGGCCCCGCGCAGAAAAGCAGCUGCCGAGCACGCCCGUCUUCUCCCCAACCUCCUCCCGCCCCCUGCAUCUCGUGAUUGGCAACACACGGUGCAUGCGCCACGGCACACGAAAAAUCACCGAUCAAUUCAUCAGCGCACGCCGUCAACUACACACGCAGACAGGCACACGUACAUGGUAGGCAGUGGCACAGGGCAUCACGUCAUUCCUUCACCUUUUCUGCUGUUGCCUUGUCCGUUCAAUGCUGCAUUUCCAGCUCACGCACCUCUUGCUCUCCCACGCACACGCGCACCUUACUUCCGUGCAGCCGGCGCUGCGCCAUCCCUUUCCUUUUCUGGCUCUGGUCACCGGCGUCAUACACCCAACCACGCGACCAAACCUACACACGUUGCACUCCAUAGAUCAUUCACGCUCGCGCACAUGCACCCCUGGCGCCUCCUCUCGCCCUUAGUUGUUUUAAUCUCUUCGCAUGAGAGUGCCUCGAUUGCGGACUGACGCUGCUUCCCCGGCCAGUCCUCGCACGUAGCGGAUGAACUGCCUGUGCGACCACCCCGCGCGCUACCUCAUCAGCCGUGAUGGCAAGCCGUGCUACACCUGCGCACUCGGGCGCUGCCGCUUCUACGCGCUGGCCCCAGUGCAGUGCGAGGGGUACACCCGCGUCACGCUGGGUGCCCCGGGCUGCCCUCUAGCCGACACUGGCGUUGUGCUGCGCUUUGAGGCUCUGGUACACCCGACAAGCAAGGACGUCGCGUGCUUCAUGAUUCGCGUGCAGGGGGAAGCGUCGAGGUGGGACACGCUUCGCCUUGCAGUUCUGCAGGAUUCUCAGUUUGAGGGCAUGUGGUACACCGCCGGGCGGGCUUUCCUGUACCCCAUGGCGCAGUACACUCGCCUCGUCGCCGCCCUCAAGGCCCGUUCACUGCCGCACGUGGCGUUCGAGGAGAUCCCUAGCUUCUACUUUCGCUGCGUGGAGCGGAUGCGGCAACUUCCACGGCAGUACGCGGAUGACGUGGCCGCUGGGCGAGCCUGCCUACCGGACGCAGAGGACUGUGUGUACCGGCGCCUGAAACCGUUCCAGCGGGAUGGUGUGCGCUUCGUUCUGGAGCGCCACGGCCGCGCCAUGAUUGCCGAUGACAUGGGACUCGGCAAGACGGUGCAAGCCAUCGCCGUCGCUCAUCACUACCGGGACGAGUGGCCGGUGCUGGUCGUGUGCCCCAUGUCGCUCAUGGAGAACUGGGCGAAGGAGUUCAACAAGUUCUGCGGUAUCCCGUUCGCACGCAUCGCCAUCCUGCAAGGUGCCAAGGCAACGGCGACGAGCCUGCAGGCCGUCGCGAUCGUCUCCUACAGCUCCCUGAAGUGUGUCGAGGACGCCCACUUCAACGUGGUCAUCCUCGACGAGUCGCACUACAUCAAAGCCGGGGCGGCAAAGCGCGCGCAGCAGUCACUCAAGCUCUGCCGCGCGAGCCGCCGUGUCAUCCUCCUGUCAGGCACGCCAGCCAUGUCACGCCCCAUCGAGCUGUACGCGCAGCUGCAGGCCAUCCAGCCAAGCCUAGUGCCGAGCAAGGCCCAGUUCGGUGCGCGGUAUUGCAACUCCUUUGUCGGCCGCUUCGGCAUCGACAUGACCGGUCACGCCCAUCCCGAUGAGCUGCACAGCCUGCUGCGCCACUUCCUGAUUCGCCGCACAAAGCGCGAGCUCGGCAGUGAGCUGCCCUCCAAGUCUCGCCAACUGCUCUACAUGUACAUCACGGAGAAGGAAAAGAAGGCGCUGGAGAAGCAGAUCAUCGCGUUGCGCCGUAGCCUUAGCUCGACGUCAGCAGCAGCCUCCAGCUCGACUUCUUCUCUCGUGGACAAUGGCGGGGGCGACUCGGCUGCGCGGGCACCAAACGUAUUCGAGAUGAAGAUGGCCACCGCACGUGCCAAGAUACCCGCGGUGCAGGAUUACGUCAGCGGUAUUGUGGAGCAGCACCUCGAUUCAGGUGAGAAGCUCAUCCUGUUCGCACAUCACCAGUGCAUGAUGGAGGCGCUCCGGAGCGCGGUCGAGGCGGUGCGGCCGCGCCAGCCCAUCGACUACAUCUACAUCUCCGGCGACACGCCACCGGCGCAACGUGAGCCAGCUGCGGAGCACUUUCGAACAGAAGCGACAUGCACGGUCGCUAUCCUUUCCAUGCAGUCCAGCGGCAUUGGUCACAACUUCACGUGUGCGUCCACGGUAGUCUUCACUGAGCUGGAUUGGAACCCCAGCACCCACUUGCAGUGCGAGGAUCGCGUGCACCGUAUCGGCCAGGCGCAGCCGUGCCACAUUAAGUACCUACUGGCCGAGGGCACCUCCGACAGUGUCAUCUGGCCGCUGCUACAGACGAAGCUGAGCGUGACCGCGGCCAUGUUCGAGACGUCGAACGUGACUGGGGCGGAGGUACGCCUGCACGACGGCGCCGACAAGCAGAACGUGGCCAGGCGCGACGUGGUGGCCGCGACAACCUCGUCGACCCCGUCCGCAUCGCAGCAGAGCACGCUGGACCAGUUUAUGCAGCCGCAGCCGUCGCAAGCAGCGUCGAGGAGGGGCGAGGAAGUCGACGGCGUCGUUGUAUCAAUGCAGGAGUCGCCGCGAGUCAGCGUUCAUUCACAGUCGUCGACCGGGCACGCGGCACUUGCAUCGCUGGAGAGAGACGCGCCGCCACUCUUACUGACACCGGCAAGCCUCACCCAGCAGCAGCGACAGCCGCUGACCCUCAUCGGCACCCCCAUCUCCGCCUUCUGCGGGAGCACGAGCGGCAGCGGCGUCGCCACCGCAUCGGCUACCGCGACGACGGCACCGACAACCCCGCCGCCGCCGCCGCUGAUUCCGUUCUCUGAGAUGUGCGACAACUUCGUGGGGACCUCUGCGCCGCAGUUGAGCAACUCCUCGGCAUCGCGUCUGCCGCGCCUCUCUGCCAGCAGUGGCAUCGGCACGACACACCCAACCGCGCUGUCCUCGUCGCUGUCUACAAUGGUGCCUGGCCCCGCACCGAAGAGUGCCAAUACCACAUCUGUGCUCGACCUCAUGCGCCGCACGUCGUCCACAAAGUCGGGGGCCGGGUCAUCUGCAGCGGAACCGUCCCAUUCAGCGCGCGCUGCUGCUGUUUCCUUGGUCGUGGACCUCACUGAGACGGCCUCAACUCAGCCGGUAGCCAUGCAGCCACUGUCAUCGAUGGUGUCGCCUCCCGCGCCAAUGCGAUCGCUCCCGUCGUCAUCGGACGUCUCGCUCCCAACGAUGGACAUUACCGCCUCAGCCGGUGCCGUGGCCCCACCACGUCGCACUGUCUUCACCUUAUCCAAAACGGGCACUCAGGCCUUCAUGAACACAGCGGCUGCGUCGACGCUGACGAGCAGCUGCUCAGGCAGCCGCGCUCUUUGCCCUGCGGCACCGCCGGCAUUGCCAGUGGCGCCGAAGACCGCCGCCGUGCACGUGCCGAUGCGACCCGAUUUGCACUUGAAGCGGCCACGCACUGAUACCGAGCACGGCAGCGGCGGCAGUACCAGCAAGCGCGUCAACACCACCAGUGGCGAUGCGAACGCCCUUGCGGCAACAGCCGUUGCACGAGUAGAGGUGAGCUGUGCAGCAGGGCCAGCCGCUGCUGCGACUCUUGCACCCCUUCCGCCCCCAACCACUCGGUCCGUGCAAACGCAGCCGGUGAUGGUGCACCCUAUCAUGCUAGCUGUGUCGUCGUCGUCAUCCUCCGAGCCGUCGCAAGCUUCCUCGGCGCCAUCUCCUGUCGCCACCACGCCCCGAAGAACGCUUUUUAAGCUCGUGGGUAAAGCGUCAGGCGCUCCCUCUUCUCCCAUGCCUGCCAAACCGCAGUGACGUACAGGUGGCAACUGCGUGUGCAUGGAGUGAUCCCCUGCUUGUGGAGCAUGAGGCUGUCAUUCCUCUGGUGCCGGUGUGCUACGACGACAUGCACUGAAGUCGUCUGGCGCCUCGACCCCACCACCGCGCAUGCUGCGCAGAGACACAAGCGUACGUGUAUAUUGAGAAUGGGGCCCGCACACACACACACACACACACCCUUUCCCAUGCAUGGGGCUCGUACAUAAACACGCGCUGAGUGGUGCGUGGUACACUCAGAGUGAGAGGGGGGAGGAGAUGGACGGGUACACGAUGCAGAGCUGGUACGUGGAGCCUGUGUUCCAUCUCUGUUGGCAAC
rnacentral:misc_RNA from 1 species